GACGAACGCUGGCGGCGUGCUUAACACAUGCAAGUCGAACGAUGAAGAAGAGAAACGCGAACUUCGGUUCAAAUUUCACUUCGGAUUAGUGGCAGACGGGUGAGUAACGCGUGAGCAACCUACCUCUUACAAAGGGAUAGCCUCGGGAAACCGUGAUUAAUACCAUAUGACACAUUCAUAGGGCAUCUUAAGAAUGUUAAAGCUACGGCGGUAAGAGAUGGGCUCGCGUCCCAUUAGCUAGUUGGUGAGGUAACGGCCCACCAAGGCGACGAUGGGUAACCGGGCUGAGAGGGUGAACGGUCACAUUGGAACUGAGACACGGUCCAAACUCCUACGGGAGGCAGCAGUGGGGAAUAUUGCACAAUGGAGGGAACUCUGAUGCAGCGACGCCGCGUGAGCGAUGAAGGAAUUCGUUUCGUAAAGCUCUGUUCUAUGGGAAGAAAAGGACUGUACCAUAGGAGAAAGCCCCGGCUAAAUACGUG
rnacentral:rRNA from 1 species